GGCUCCGUGCCGGGAUCGCGGCGCGUUCGUACCGCGGCGCCGGGCUCCGACCGCCCGGUUCGCGCUCCGCGGUCGUCUCUGCUGCGCCCGCUGUGUGCCCACAGCCGGCAGCGCUUUGGUUUGGGGGUUGAUUCCUUGACAUGGGAAUGCCUUUGGAGCCUUAUUUUGCAUCACUAGAAUUAGCAGACAUGAAGCAACUCUGUGCAGGUGUUCUGUCGGGAUUUCUCUCAGCCUGCGGUUUACUUCACCUCCUGCAUCAAGGCUCUGCCCUGUCUGUUCGUGUCCCAGUCCCAUUCCUUCCCUUGUUUCUGUCACCGCAUCAUUCAAGCAGGUGCUGACAUUUCUAUGAUGAGCUUUAAAUAAGGUUUUGUGGGUGUUGGUACUCUGGGGCCAUAGUCCAGAACACGCUCAUUCACGUGACAGGCCAUGCGGUCGGUUCCGCUGGGAACAGCUUGUAAAGCGUAAGUUUGCUCGUACACAUAACUGCUCUCAGCACUGUACCCUUGAUUAAUCAGUAAGCAGUUGGCAAAGGAGAGGGCAUGUCCUUCGGUCCUUUUGUCCUCGUGUUCUCCUGAGCUACUUCCACUUGCUGUACAGAGCAAGAGAGCCUGUGCAUAAAUGCACGUGUUAGUGAACAUGCCUGCUGUCUGUACAUGGUGCUGGUGUGCACACCAGCCUAGGUGUCCAACCAUUGCUACAGCCCUUGUCUGGAUUUAUAUGAGCUGGGCAUAAAUCAUGCUACCUAAUUGCAUAUUACUUACUCAUGUGCAUAUUUAAGGUACCAAUACUUUCUUAUUUUCAGCACCUUUUUGGUAACUGUCAGUUAAAACUCAGAUCACAUUUUUCUACAGAUGAUGAAAAAUUGAGAUUUUUUUUGCCCCCUGCCCGCCCCCAAAUAUUUUUAAGAAAACACUUUCACCUUUAUUCCUCCUUUACGCAGUAUCUAUUCAAAAGCAGUAGAAGCAGGCCUACAUAGAUGCAGUGGAUGGAUCUACUUCAACUCCAAGGGAGCUCUAUAUUCAGAUCACUUUGGAGUAGGUAAUCUGGUAUUCUAUACAAGCAGAACUGCAAUAAACCCAGUACAGCUUAUUCCAGCCUUUUCUUCUCCCACAAAAGCAAAAUAAGCUAUACCAGCAAAAGCUCGGUGCUGCUUGUGAUUACAUCUACACCUGGGGCUUUCAUGAGCCCGGGAAUGAUAAUCACAAAUCGUGCUUCAUUGCAUCCCUAACCAACGGCAGUGCUGGGAAAAGCUCGCAGGAUCAUGCAGAUCAGUGCCACAGAUAGGGAGCUCAGAGCUCAGUCAUUAGCAGAAUCCUGAUGUCCUCAGAUCUUUUUGAAUACAAAAUUUUAGUGGUGGCUGGUUCACAGUGGACUAGUAUCUGCUGAGGGACUAAACAUACUGCAAAUGUUUACACUGAAUGCUACUGAUCAGGAUUAAUAGAUUUACCAGCAGAACAAAAUGAGAUUUGUGGACCUUCAGGAGAAGGGUAUUUCAGAUUAUGUUCUCCUAGAGGAAUUGGGAACCUCAGCCAUUACUUAGGUAGUAUCUGCCCUUUUUAUUGGAUGAUGAAAAAAAACCUAAAAUGCUGGAGAAGAUGGUAUAUCCUAUGUCUGUGGUUCUCCCUCAAAGAUUUGUUUAUGUGGGAAAACUGUGCCAAAGAGGGCUCAAUAUGAAUUUACAUCAUAAUCAUAUCUGUGGAAUGGAUCUCAGUCUGUCAGCACCCAGAGACCUUUCUGGGCUUAAACCCCAAUCCAUGCUAGAGGCAGAUCUAAACUGUCUGCGGCCAUUCCUGGCAGAAAUACUACAGCAGGUCAUGAACAGCUGUUUGCUAGUGCCUCCAUAGAAAUGAGAACAACUUCAACAGUGGGUUUUCCAAUAAAGGAUCUGUCAUAGGUGUCCUGAUGCAGUGUUUGUCAAUGUAAGUGAUAGGGUUGGCUGCCAGGUCAGCCCCAAAGAAGCUGAGGUCUCAACAAUUGUAACUAUCAGGUCAUUUGGCAAAGUCCUGAGUAAGCUGUAGCUCACUCACUGUAUUCUCUUUAAAAUUAGGAGAAUCACAGCCUGGUUAUCAUACUUGAUCUUCUACCACUGGAGAUGAGCUCUGCAGCACUGCUUUUACUUUAGCAGUUUACCACAGUAAUUGCAGUGAAAAAAACCCCCAAACCCCGAAGCAUAGAACACUUAGGAUAGGGGGAGUUCUUUUUAAAAUAAAAGUACAAAAAGAGUUGCAAAACUGUUGACAAAAUUUCCUGACCUCUGACAGUAUUUUUCUGAGCAGAAAUUUGAUAAUGACUGUUGCUAGUAUUCUCUUUUUUUUCCAGAUGCAUUUCUGUGUAUGGUCUACUUCUGUACUGGGAUUCCCAAAAUUCUCAUGGCAACUUGUUGUCUAAGUAAUUCUAUUAGCAACUGAGAACAGUGAUUGGUCCCUUUUUAUGAUUGUUGUUCGCUUGCAUUCUCACUUUAUCUGUUCAGAUUUUUAGAAAACAGUCUUUAGGAUGUUUUUAGUAAUACUUGUCUUUCAGAUAUUCCUAGCAGAGGACAAAAUCUGAGUUUCAUAAACUAGUAGUAAUUAUAUUAAUUAUGUGUCCAUCCAUAAAAAUUUGACAUAAUUUUAUUGUGUUUCCUGAGGAUACAUUUUAAUUUCAGAAUACAAAGGUCAAUUUAUGUAUUUUACCGUUUGUACUGAUCCUGACAACAUGGACAACUGGACGUGAAUUCUGAGCUUUAAACCUAUUAAGGACCAAGAAAGAAAACCCUUAAAUCCUUUGAAGUCUGCAAUCCAGUGUAAUCUUAGUCCUUCAGCUACAUGUAUGUGUUCAGGAUCAUGCACAUGUUCUAAUCUGUUAUGGAGACCCUGUAACCCAGUCCAUGUGAAAAUUAUAGAGAAUAUUUCAUUUAUGCAGGUGUUUACAUUUCAAACCUUUUUGCUGGAGCUGCAUGAUCUGUGAUCUCAGACUUUGGCAUGUGUAGAAAUGAAUCAGGUUGAUAAAUUCAUGAUAGAGACUAUGUAGUGUUGCAUCACAGUGUUAAAGUAUUUAUAGUGUUGUUUACCAAACAGUAAGACAGCUUUGAACUGGGUGAACCCAGUGACUAGGAGGUCCUUUCCAGUCUUUUCCUUCUCCAGGCAUUUCUCACAUCCUUUAUUUUCCACAGAAACUUCUGUUGUUAAAUAUGCAGAGCUUCUCUUCAAACAAUAGUGUCAAUGAAGGACGCUUGUGCAAAGUAAAUUAAUUUCCUGUGCACACUUCAAAUGCAGAAUGGAGAGAGGCCAGAACACCAUCCAAAUAAGACAAGUCUAGAUUCCCCAAUAAUUAUUUUGUAAUCUGCAUUUAUAAUAGAUUUCCAAGAACAAAAGACAUUCCUUUAAAAACAACUGAGGUUGCUAAGUGACACAAAUAUAUUUACUGUGUCAUAACUUGCAAAAGCCAAGCAUAUUAAAACAAGAGCUUUAAUAAGCAGCAGUGUCAUGAAUCUCACCUUGACUCCCAGGGUAAAUAUAAACCUGUUGGCCAACAGCUUUACAUGGUUUGGGAUGCCCAGUCUGAGACUUUAAUGGAAACAGGAAAUGUUAGUUGUUUUAGGAAAUACAGACUUUCACUCUUAAGGAAUUGAAAUAUUCAUACUUUGUCCCAAUGGAUGUUUGGGAUUUGUUUCUUUCAUGUAUUGUUUCUGUUUAUCCUAAGAGUUUGCAUGUAGGGAUACUGCUUCCUAACAAGGCUGGGAACUAUGCUGUCAGUUGUGAGGCUGAGUUACUUCUUUUUGCUGAAGCUAUCACUGUGUCUUAUAUCUUUCAGACACAGAAACCCCUCUCCAGUCUUUUAGACACAAAACACCUCUCCAGUCUUUUGGAGAAAGCAAAAAGCUGACACCUUCUUCUGUCUUUUCACCUUCUAGUGUCUGACACACCAAACUGCUGUAUUUCAGCUUGUCCAAGCAAUCAGAACACAGGGCCCCUUUGGAGGGACCACAGUAACAUUCCUUUGGCCUGAUAAGCUGAUCCUUCUCUUUCCCUAAGCUGCAAACCCUCUUCUUCCUCCUCUGGUACACACAAGAUUCAGUUGAUGCCCUGUGCCUGCCACAAAUGUGCAGAAGUGGACAGUGUGCAGGAAUUGCUUCUGAGGAGUGCAUUGAACCACCUGUUCAUUAGGAGCUGCCAGCUCGCCUUGCACAACAGCCUCUGCUAGUUUAGGAAUGAGACAGGAGGCGUGGGAAUGGAGCCUACAGACAUCUCAGGGAUGCACUAAACUAUGGGGCAACCAAGUCUUUGUUUAUUCAAAUAAUUGACUCACUUCCAGCUUUCCUAAUAACUGGAAUACAUUUUAAUGGUAACCUAUAUUAGAAGUAAUGAGCUAGUGUAAUCCAUUGUGUGGGCUCUCAUAGAUUUUCUGUAUAGGCAAUUCCUGAGAAUAAUUUCCAUUUGUUGAGUCUUUUCAAAUAUUGAAAUAUAGGGAGCAGAGAUGAAAACAAUAUAUUGAACCAUUCCUAAAAUGUCAUUAAAUGGACUUUAGGAACAUCUCUUUAAAAAUACCAGAUUCAAUAGAAAAGCCCUUUCACCUUUUGUCAAAAUACCCUGCACAUUUCUGGAUGUCCUGACAAAAUCCCUGUGCUUGUUUCUAUACCUUCAAUUGGUAAUUGUUUGUUAACCAGACAUGUCUCUUGACAGUUCUGUUAAAACAAGCCUAUCUACAGUGAAUACUGAAAAGCCACGAUCAAUAAACUAGUAUAUAAUGAUUACAAGUAAUGCAUCUCACUCAACAUGAAGGGCCAAAAAGAAAAAAACAAGCCUCCUGUCUAAUUAUAUUUGAAGUAGACUUGUCUGAAAUUAAGGGAGCACUUGUCCCACAAGGACUGCAGCCAAUUCCACUGAAUCAAUGGAACCUGGGCAGGACUGCCAGCUUUCCUCAUUGAAAUUCCUCCUUCAAGCAUACUUUUGGCAUUAAGCCAUUAGAAAAAGAUGACUGUUCCUUAAAAAGAAAAAUGAAGACCAGGCACCACCUGAGAGCUGACUGCUCCUUCUUGUUUUGAGUCUGACGUGUGCUGUUAGUGCAACUUAGGCCCUGAAUUUUGCUCCUCACAGAAGCAUGAUCAGCCUUCAGGAACUUCUAAAUAUCCAAGCACAUUUCAUAGAAACGUAUAAUGGUUUGGGUCAGAGUGGACCUGAAAGAUCACCUAGUUCCAAUCCCCCUACUGUGGGCAGGAACACCUUCUACUAGACCUGGUUGCUCAGAAUUCCAUCCAGCCUGGUCUUGAGCACUUCCAGGGAUGGAGCAUCCACAGCUUCCCUGGCAAGACUUGGGUUUGUGGCAGUUCUGUAGCUGCAGAGGAGAAGACUGAGUUGCCCCUGAAGCAGGAAGACUGGGCAGUGUGGAAGUGGUGAGGAGAAACUCCUUCAACCAUCUCAGUGAGAGCUUUGCCUUCCCAUUUGGGGUUGGAGGGCUGUGCUCAGAUUGAGUGGAGACCUUUGGAAUGAAGAUUUACGGGACUCAGAAAAUACUGGAGCAGCAGAAAUGAGCAAUGCAGGGGCAGAGGAGGUCAGGACUGGGGAACGAUGUUGAAAUGGAAACACUAAAAGUAGGUUCUACCCUUUAAAAAACUUGACACCAUAAAACCAACCCGCAUGAUUUCUGCAAACCUUAAAGGUUUUUAGCAGUACCACAAGCUGGCAGUGCUAUUCAUUCUGUUGCAGGCAUGAGCAGGAGGCCUCUGACAAUAAGGAAGGAUUAUUUCCAUUGCAUUGGAAAGACAUUGGAAGAGUAAUAUCAUUCAAGUGGUGGAAAAAUGUCCUCAUAGUACAGAGUAGCUGAAAAGACAAACACUUCAGUAUCAACCUUUAUCCUCCUGUUUUGGUUUGAGGCAAGGCUGCCUCAAAUCAAAAGCAACCACAGGCUUGGGUUUCAUAUUUUUUGUGUAGAAAUUAUUCCAGUUAUACCUGGAGUAACUUACAAGUCAGGUUAACUUCAUAGUUAAAUUGAGUUCAAAGAGCUUAUAAACAGAAUUCUUGAUUGCAAAAUUGAUUUUAAACUGCAUAAAGUUCUGUUGGCAUUAUGCUAUUUUAGCAAGGAUGACAGAACCCCUAAGGCCAACAUUUCUAAGGCAAUUUGUCCAAGAGAGAAGCCUCUUUUCAGUUAAUGAUCCACUUUAUAAAAAACUUAAUAUUGCUAGCUUUCACUAUAACUUUCAUAUAAAAGACAUCUUCAGCGAGGAACUCAUUACUGGGAUAUGUACCAUUGGCAUCAUGAGUUCAUGUAUUUUAGAAGUUCUCUCCUUUACAGUUUUCAUGAAUUUAUCUUCAUGAUCCAUUUCCAAAUGGUCCCUACUUAAAGUUUAUGUUUCUUACUGAAUGUCAAACUGCAAUAAGAAAACUCCACCGCAUUUACCAAAAUUCGUUGGUGUUGCAGCCUGGUGGCUUUUGUUCCUUUCCUUUAACGUUCAUUUAAAUAAGAUAGUAAAUUGGGCAAAACAGUACUAAAACCAGAAGUUGCAACAUGGUUUGUGAGAACACAAACUUAAAAAAGAGCAACAAAUCCAGGAGCUAGGGAAACUAGAUAUCAUCUGUCUACAUGCUUGAGUCUGCUUUUCUUCUAUUUCAGAAUCAUACCUGACUUGGAAGACACACACAAUAAAAAAAAGUUUAAAAUAUCAAAAUAGUAAACAACCAUGGCAGUUCCUGCUUAGUGAUCACUUUCUUCCUCAUGGCUUUCCUACUUUUCAUAUUUAUCAGCACUGGGCAUUGUAGUCUGCUACAGCAAGUUGUGGUACAUUGGAGUAGGAAUUGCACUGCAGAAAAUAUAUUGUAAAUUAUGAUGAUUUAAGUUUUCUUGGGAUUCCCAUAUGCACUCAUCACUGCUGCCAUCAUUCACUCUGCGCUGUGCUCAUUGAAGGCUCUGCAACUGAAAUUAUUUCUUGAAAGUAAUGUGAAUCUAAAUUCAUCUUCCUUCACAAAAUAAUUCUAAAGAAACGAUGCAGUCCCAAAAUCCCAAAAGAAAACCCCUUCUAAGAUGCCAAAGGGGGAAGUUAGUUGCAUUACUCAAUAAGAAACCCCUUGAAAAUGACAAGCAGAAGGGAGUGACCACAUGAAUAUUUCCUGUGCUGAGGUAUCCCAGCUUUCACAGGGGUGUUGUAAGGUGACUUGUGUAACUUGUGGGUAGUCUGGAUGGCACCUCAUCAUGGAGAUGGCUUUUGAUAAUAACCAAACCUGACUAAGCCAACAGAAUGCCAAGCUGCCUUUGAAAUCCCUCCCCCACCUGCUUCCCUUUCUGUGUUUCUAACACAUCCCUUGUGCUGUCUCUGGUGCUCUUUGGAGCCACAGGCAGCCAGAUCAGAGGGUCCAUACAGCAGAAAACUAGUCCUGCAAAAAAACAUUGAAUUGUAGAUCAGUUUAGCUUUCUGCUCUGGAUUAUUAAUGGUUUGAUGUACAUCCCUAGCAAAGAGCUUGCAGAAAGCAUGGCUGGCAGGCAGAAGAGGGAGUGGGACGUCUUUCAGCUAUUAAGUGGUUUCACUGAAUCACAAACCUGUAGGAGAAGUCUCCCCAGUACACUGACUUUGGUAGUGAAGCUCUUUCAAACAGUCCCUGCCAUGUUCCAGGCCCAGCUGACUGCUUCUGCCUUUGUGCUGAAAUUCAUCACCUCUUCAGGUGGGUCUGUGAAACCAAUCUCUGUAGAGCUAGACUAUAGACUGGGCUGUGGCUCAAGGUACGUAACUUGUGACACAACAGCAGAGCUGAUGAGCUGUGGUGUAACACCAGGAGUGAGUAGCUGGAGGUCAUAAGGCAGGAACUUUACCCACAUGGUUGCUGGAGUCUCUCAUGAAACUACAUUUGGAGUGGUCUCAAUGGCUCAUGUUCCCUGAACUUAUCAGCACCUGCAAUUCCUUUUUAAUUAAAGAAAAUACUCUGUGUGGCAGCUACACUGGUGAAUUUAGUGUUUUUCCCAGAAAACAAUCUGCUGAGGGAGCAAAUUAACACAUAGCAAUUGUAGCAUGGCGUUGUGGGCUUGUAUAGGACACGAUGGCCAUCUUUAAUUCAGUCUUGCAGCAUAGACAGGCAUGGCAGAGAGGACACUACUACAACAGCAGUGCAGUUACUAGGGCUUACUGGUGUCACAGAUCUGCUUUGCAGAAUGGAGCCAUGCAGAUGUGCUCAGUACAGACUCACUAGCUGACCUUACAGACCUUCAAAAUCCACUGCUUUUACCGUGAUUUAGGAAUAAAAAGAAAUCCAAUUUCUUCCAUGCUGGCAACAAACCAUAGGUUAUGUUGGGGAAAACAAACACCUUAAGAGUGGCUACAUUUAGACUUGGACCAAAGCACCUGAAGGCAUGGUCUUCAUGGGUCACCUCAGUGUUCCAGUGGGAGUUUGGCAUGCUUGACAUGCUGUCAAGUCUCCAAAACAAGUGUGAUUCUAUAUGCAACCAUAUGACUUGCAGAAGUGGUGUCAGAGGCAAGGACCAGUCACCAUAAAGAUAUAUCUCUGUUGUGGCUGGUGUAAGGGAUGAGUAAACUUUUUGGACUGGUGUAAGGGAUGAGUAAACUUUUUGGACUUCUCUGUCUGAGAAAAUAUUGUAAAAUGUUUUACUCAUAAUACAUUUUCUGCUUGGAAAGUGUGUCAAAGUUCAAACUGAUUGUCCACUAUGAGUGAACUCUUCCUUUCAUUCUUUGAGCUCUUUGAAUUGCCCAGCACCCAGUGGACACCUUCUCUUAUUGCAGCCAAGACAAAAUGGGUAAUGGAUUUUAGCAGAUCCCCUCCCACCUCUGGCAAUAUGUAAAGGACGCUAAUACUGCUUGUAAAAAAAAUUCUCAUUCUGAUCACAAGGCAAAGCCAAGUAUGAUGGAAAGCAUUUUCCCUCUGAACUGAUUUGUUGUAUAUAUAUUACUGUUUGCAGCAACAAAGAUGCCAUUGUAAUGUAAAAAUGUCAGUCCUCAGGUUGAAUUUGUAGUUGCAGUUAUCUGAUUACAUAAAAAGAAAUGCUGAAGGACUAUAAAACUCUCAAAUAUUUAUUCAGCAGAACAGCUGAAUCCUGUACACUCUUCCUUCACUGUGCACAUGUACAUGUUUCUUGUAUACUAUUUAGUGUGUACUGCUUUUUAUAGCAUAGUUUGUGUAAUUUGUUACUUUGAUUUACUGUAUUAUUUCCUGAGUAUGGAACAAUCCUGAAGUAAGUGCCAUUUUGUGGGUAGCAAAGUAUUUGAGUGCAGCUCACCACCUCCAAUGUGUCAGCUAGAUCUAUUGCACAACUAUUAAUGGCAUGUUCAGAAGGACUUUUACGCUAAUAUUGAAAUUCUUUUAAGACCAUAUUUAGCUUUGGCAAAUGUUUCCCACAUGUCUUUGAGUGGCAGUCCAUCUUUUGAUGUUUAUAUUUGCCAUCUGGAUAUGUCAGCUUUGUGCAACAGAAGUGUGAAAUGGUGUAAGUAAAUCUCAAGAAGUGGAAAGAACAUUUUUAAAGGUUUACAAACAAAUGUACCCAAAAAUAGUAUAGGAAAAUGAAUGUGCAAUGGCGUGGACAUACUUUUUUGGCAAGUCACUCUACAGUCUGAAUUUUUUUAGAUCUUAUUACUACAGAUAACCCAAAAGGAAUUUUGAGGAAAUUAUAUAAGAGGAAGAAUAUACAUUGCAGUUUUUAGUUUGUUAAUUUUAUGCAUUUGAUUAUGAGUUUGCAUGAUCAAGCUCAUGUUUCUUCCAGUACUUCUUAUAAAGAGGCAGAUUUCCUGAUUUUCACAGAUUUUCCCACACAACUUUUGUGGAAAAUAUUUGAACAAAGGAUAAACUAUAUGUAAAACAUUUAAAAAAUCCUUGGUUCCUUGGACAGGCAGAUGCAAGAGUCAUGCAUUAUGCUUAUUGCUGUUGCCAUUACACUUUGUACUUAAAAGAAUUUGAAUGCAGAAUCUGUUUUUCUUUGUACUCGGCUGCAACUCCGAUAAGCAUCAGGAGAGAUUAAAUAUAACCAUGUAAAGGACAUAACCUCCUGUUACACUGCACUAGGUUUGUUUUACCACCAGCUACUGCAGGAUGACAUGAAAUUCAGAUCUUGGCAGGUAAAACACUUCCAGUUGAACUUCAUAAUUCCUGUAAUGUGGAAUAUUUCAAGCCAUAGCCAUGUUAAAUAUAAUUAUAUGCAACCAGCGGUUGUGUGCCACAGAACAAUUAGAACUCAUUCCCUAGAAAUGUGUUAAAGUUCUUCCCAGUUAUUUAUGCUGGUGAGAUAGGCAGAGCCAUAUACAGUACUCAGAAGUGAUAUGCAUUCAUCUGUGUUUAUAUCACCAGGAAAGGCACUGCCAUCUGCCCUUAGCAAUUCUCUCUCUACUCUUUGCUCUUUGUAAGAUGAGCCCGGCUUCAAUGUCAUGUUACAAUUUAUUGCUAGUGAUCUGCUUCGAGUUGUUUUCUGGUCACCAGUAGUUUGUUUGGAUUCCCUUUUUUCUGUUGUCUAGUGUCACUGUGGGACUUGGACUUGUUGGACUUAUUUUAUACAUCAUUAGCUCAGCAGUGCAGGCUAUGAUUACUUUCUCAUAAAAAAGUAAUUCUUUCUCAGAAGACAUGCGUAGCUCUUGGCUGUGGAGAGAGUUUUUUUGCAAAUUUCCUUGAAAGCUGAAUACUCAGGAUUUUAUUCUUCAUUGCCUCACACCUCUUGUUGUCAUUUAAACUCCUGCCAAAGAACAUCACUGAAGCAGCAGCUCUGCACUCUGCGUCUUCCAACCUUUGAGACUGCUGCUUUGUAAUCUUAAUGUCCUUGUACACAAGUCUUAUUUACUUUUUUUUAUGUCAUCCCAAGUUCAUUUCCUUUAAUGAUCAAAAGUCCAUGGCACAGUUUAGCCCUGAAAAGGACUGAUACUACAGCCCUCACUGCAUUACUGAGUGUAACUAGGGCAGAGGCCAGCUGGGCAGCAGCCAGUGCCUGGCUCCAGCAUUUGAGAGCUGGGAAGCUCUAAGGUGAAACAUUAUUGUACACACUUGAGAACUAGAGGCUGUAAAUAGAAUAAAGCAAAUAAAAACAUUCAGAAAAAUGAGGGCUGCAAGAACUGUGCUCUUUCCAAACACUCUUCCUAUUUUCCUUUUUUUUACAGUUUUCAUUUCAUUUGUAAGAUAAUACAGGUUCUAGAUCUUGGUGCUGCCCUUUCCACGGCACAACAUGUGCUCAAUUCUCUGUCCUGUUUCUUCUUGUGAUGUAGUUUGCUGAAGGGCUCUGGUACAUAGUUGUUAAAGUUCAUGACAAAGUGGCUGGUGGGGUCAGGACACAGCGAUUUUUCAAGUGUUUUUGGUGUGCCUCAGUGGUCAUCUAUCUGCCUUUUGUGCACCAGGGGAUUCAUUUUCAUAACCUGAGAGCUCCUCUGUCAUUGAAACUUGCAAGGACUUGGAGCAUUCACCACUACUCCAUGUUUCUCCUAAGAAAAACAAUCAAAGUUUAUUGUAGAAUCAUUUGUCCAAAGUCCUGUUGCUGUUUUGCUGGUGUUCUAAUACUACAGCAGUGUAUACUGCUAAUGGGGGAGCCAGGCUCACAGGGAAACAGGCACAUUAUGGCAGCAGCAAAGUUGUCCACCAUCACUCCACAAUCCAAGCUCUUCAACACCCAGGUGGGUCCACAUAUGUGCUAAUAUUUGUUAGCAGAAAACUUUAUUAACCAAGCUGUCAUCUUGACUCAAAGCCUUUUCCAUUCAAUUUUUAUGUCCUCUGAAUUGCCCAACUUCAUUUUUCCACAAUGAGCUCUGCCAAUCAUUAUCAAGAGCAGCACUUUCUGGGUAAUCUGGAAUAAACUUUUGAUUCCUCUGCCUUCCAUUUAUAACAUUUUAUUUAAAUUAAUUUUUUUUUUUUCAAUCUCCCUGCACUGUAGCAAUGUCAUUGAGGGAAUGUGUGUUCCACUCAGGUAAGGGAGAAUUGUUUCUCCUAUCGUUUAUUUGUGAAAUUCCAAUAGUUUUUGCUUUAUUUAAUGGCUGCAAAAACUCCCUCUCAGGGGAGGCUGCAGAUUUAAUAAAACUUAUGUUCCUUGGCCUAAUUCUCUUCUAUCUUGGUUUCUUUUUAGCCAUUCAUCCUUGUGCAAGGUGUAUAUCCAGUAUUAGGAGGAGUAUAUAUUUGGGAUUCAGUAGCAUUUUACCUUCAUCCACAAAAAUCUGCAGUGACCAGGAGUCAUGCCAGCAAUACUGUGCUUCUGGACAAAGCUGUCUUUAGGUGUCUCCCACUUGCAGGGAUGAGUGGCAUACCUGUAGUGUAAAACUACACAACCCUUCCAGAUGUACACCAGCCCUGCAGGAAUAGACGAGUCAUGAUGGAGAAUCAAAAUCCUUAAACAGUGGAGACCAAGCUGGUCCUCUCAGCCCAGAUCUUGAGAUCUGUGAUCUUAAGGAAUGUGAACCUGGAAAGUCAAACCCCUGAAUUUUGCAAGAGUGAACUUCCAGUCUUUAAGGAGUUGCUCCAGCGUCAAACCUCUAAGGGUUCUCAUCAGGGGAUUAAUUCCUCCUUCUCAUCUUCAUCAGGAGCAUGCACUUGAGCCCUCUGCGUGGGAAAUAGGCACAUCUUCUCCAUGUGGCAGAAACACCCAGCCAGUGAUCACACCCAUCAGCUAAUGGAUGGACAAGUAUCCCAGCCAGCCGUACCUAGGUAUGGAAUGCAGAUACAUUAUCCUCAGCUGCAAGCACUAUCAGGAGCCCAAGGAAUUAUUAGAUAUUUUUUAUAAUGGAAUAAAGAGAUUGUAAGGGAAAUGGAACCUCAAAAGAAGAAGAUCAGACAUCCUGCAGACGACAAGCAGAGGUACUUAGGAGGAUGCGUAUUAUGCUUAAACACAAGUCCAUCAGAGGCACCUGAGUCCCAUGUCACAGAAUGACAUCAUCUCUUGGUGUCAUUCUAUGAGAGCUGUGAAGAUUCACCUGAACAUCCAUCAUGAAGGCUGGAAGUGGUGUUGUCAAAGGACUUGUCCUGAGAAAAAAGACAGGAUGAAGACUAGCCCAGUGCCAUGUGUGAACCUUGUCAUCUGGAGCCUUGUCAUACUGCAAAACUCUCCAGCACCAGGCUCAAGUAGGGCCCUCUUUGGCUCCUUGGUGGCACACAUGGGCACCUCCUAAGGCUCUUUGUCUUGUCCUUGUCCUUUUCCUCACCUGCUCUCUAUGACCCUUCGCUCUGGGAAGGGUUAUGGUGGUUGCUGAUUGCCACUGAUCAUUUCAGACAGACUUUUUAGCUCCCUCAAUGUUUCUGACCCUGCCCCAUCCUGGACAUGGCUAUAAAUGAUGUUCCUGCUUCAUGUCUUGGCCCAGCUUUUGUCCUGUUUUUCUCUCCCUCAGUCUCCAAAGUGCUUGGCAUAUGUCUUUCAUCUACCUGGCAUGGGCUCCAUGGGUGUGCAAUGGGCACAGGAGCUAAUUAGUGACUGAUGCAACAGGGUUUUAAAUUUAACCUCAUGGGCCAGCCAUGCCUUGAAUAUAAAUAAGGCACAUGCUUUUUGGUGAACACGUGGGGUCCACUGAGAGCACUUUAGAGGAGACCAACCUGCUGUUCAGGCCAGGUGUGACCUCUGCAAAAAACCUCUGAAAUACUCGGCAGACUUAAUGUGUGCUACUCACACACUGCUUCAAAAAUUUCCCUCAGUGCUCAACUGCUUGCAGCAGCAGAAAUGCAUGAAAAUGUGAAAAGUGAAAAAUUCACUAUGACUCUUUAGAAAGGGAUCUAUAGGCAAAUUAGGAGGAGUUGGUCAAGCUUUUAGAUGGCAUCCAUUUUUGACCUCCUUCUGGCCUUAUUUACUAAAAGAAAUUGAGUUUGAACAAAGGGAGUAAAAUCAAGGAAAAGAUGCUUUUAAAGUGAAGUUAUUAACAAUAAAUAAAAUGAGAAAACAAAUCAGAAUAAAAUAAGUGCAUCAAGAUGAUCUCAAUAAUCUCAACACAAAGCCAGUUAAUCCUUAUAAGCGUUGAGAGGCUCUUCAGGAAGCAGCUGUCCCUGUGGUUACAAACACACUAGAGUCAAUUUAGCAUAGAAACUGGAGCUGCUUAAAUAGUUUACUUUUGAGACAUUACUAUCUAAUGUUCACAUCACAGAGCCAGUUAUACAGCUCCCGUCUUAGAUUUCCGUUCUCACAUAGUAGGUAACCCUUUCCUCCCCUCUGCCAGCAGAUUCCAACAGAUGACAGAUUUCAACAGAACAACUCUAAUAAACAGGAUUUUGACAGGUCUUAUUAGCCAGAAACUAUCUGGGGCAAACAGCAAGGGCUCUUUUAGCACAAAAUAAUUUUUCUUUAUGAGCCAACAUUAAAAUAUUUUCUUCAGAGUACAUAUUUUAGGGACAGACACAUGCAUGCAUGCACACAGCAAUGCUUUCAUGGCAUAGAGUGAAGUCUAAGAAAGUCCAGACAUUUCCUAGACAUCAAACACAAAUUUCAAACAUCGAUAAAGAAGCCACUUCCCAGAGGACUGGGCCUGGAGCUGCAGUUGCAGACACAGCAGAUGUGCUCUUGGCUCAAUGCUUCUCCUGCACAGACCUUGUUUGGGAGCUGCCUGGGAAGCAGAAGACAGGGACAACAUAAUCAGCAGAGUUUUGACAAUGUCUCUUUAAAACAACUGUACUUUGGGGGGACUGGAGAGCCAGUUUUCUCUCAACAGGUUCAUUGACCUUAAAGGUGAGAUAUCCCAGACUGGUUCUUAAGGUUUGUGAACUUUGCUUACUUGGACUGUGACAUCUCCCUCCCCAGGCUGCAAGCAAAUCUUCUGCAAGGACUGAUUUGGAGCUACCCCAGAUUUGAACUUAGCAAGUAGCAGGUUUGGGAAAAGUCCCAUUUACAUCCACAGAAUAAAAAGUAUUUGGUGCCUCAUAGAGCAGACACUGUGCAUCUGCAAACAUUUCCCUAAGCCUUCAUUUCCCUCCCUCUCCCCUGUUUUGUAAGUAAAAAAAAAAUUAACAAGCAAGAUGUUUCCUGAAGAUUUUGGCAUAGUCUUAUCUGGAUAAAAGGUCUCAUAAUGACUCUGUUGCCAACUUAUAGAAAUUUCAACACAAAACUAUUCUAUAAAAAUAGCUGCUUGCCAGGGUUUGUUUAUUUUCUUCCCAACCACUGCCUGACAUUCCCUCAUCUGCAAACUCAAAAAUAAAUGUGUACAAUUUA